rnacentral:rRNA from 1 species
GACGAACGCUGGCGGCGUGCUUAACACAUGCAAGUCUACGAGAACGAGGUAGCAAUAUCUCUAUUAAAGUGGCGCACGGGUGCGUAACACGUAAGCAAUCUACCUUUGGGUCUGGAAUAACUUCGAGAAAUCGAGGCUAAUACCGGAUAAUGCAGCGGCAUCGCAUGGUGAUGUUGUUAAAGUUUAAGUAAUGCCUAUAGAUGAGCUUGCGUCUGAUUAGCUAGUUGGUAGGGUAAAAGCCUACCAAGGCUACGAUCAGUAGCUGGUCUGAGAGGAUGAUCAGCCACACUGGAACUGAGACACGGUCCAGACUCCUACGGGAGGCAGCAGUGAGGAAUAUUGGGCAAUGCCCGCAAGGGUGACCCAGCAACGCCGCGUGGAGGAUGAAGGCCGUAAGGUUGUAAACUCCUGUUAGAGGAGAAGAACAGUACCGAUUGGAUCGGUAUUUGACUGUACCCUCAGAGAAAGCCCCGGCUAACUACGUGCCAG